GUCUGGGGGGGGGGUUCUUGCUUGUGGGAUAAAACCUUACCUCUAUGAGAGAACGUGUAUGCUGUCGGUUGUACUCUCGUGAAAUACACUCAGUCAGUAGUCUCGGUCAAACACGAAAGGAUCUUCGUUGUCUCGUCUCACACUGACGUAUACCUCGAACUUUAAACUCCGUUUUAUCAAACAUGUCCUCGUGGAUAUCCAACUCCUUAUCCACGUCGUUUUCAUCUGCGGCGGGAUGGCACACUACUUUGGCCUCAGCAUCACGAUAUUGGUUCAGCUUAGUCUCCCAUGAACGAAUCUUGGGACUCUAGAUCCAAAACCUCAACCAGGGGUGUAGGGCGAACCAGAAAAUGGGGUGAUGGUCCAACCAAUCGAGGUCCUCAGGGUCAAUUGCAAGUCGGUUACACCUCCUCAAAUAACUGGGCAACCGACUGCGCCACGGAAUGAUGUCUUGUUCCGCAUACGUGAAGUGGAGUACAACUAUAGAAGAUAAAUUUCGGGUGGCUCGGUAAUGGCCUGCCUCGGAGGACGGACAGGAGAAGAAUGACCAAGAGAAGCGAAAUGUGUAAGAAGGACAAAGGGCAAAUGGGAAGCACUGCCAGACCUGAUUGGUGAUGCUUACCAUCGCCAAUCAAAUGGAUUGGUUGAAAGACUUCACCGCCAACUCAAGGAUGCUUUGCUUGAUCUUGCGACGGGAGUCAACUGGUUUUAACAUCUCCCAUGGAUUCUCCUGGGGAUUUGCACACCACCCAAAGACAACUCCGGAUAUUCCCCUGCUGAGAUGCUUUAUGGGUCAAGUUUGAGAGUCCCUGGAAUUGUGUGAUCAGCCCCUCCCAAAGAUUCCCCAUCAAUUGUGUCAAGAACAAGGUUUUAUUUAGUCGGUCGGUCACCAACUCAAACUUGUUGAAAGACUAAAUGUCAUGUAAAGUUUAAAAGUGGUUAAAAAGCCCGUGAAAAAUCGAACCGAACAAGAAGAAAUGAAAGAAGUACACAGUAGAACACGGAAUCUUAAGACAAGAAACACUUGUCAGAGAAAAUUGGAAACAAGAAUUAUUUUAUCAAUUGAUGU